rnacentral:rRNA from 1 species
CGAAACCGCAUGGUUUUGAUUUGAAAGGCGCUUUCGGGUGUCGCUGAUGGAUGGACCCGCGGUGCAUUAGCUAGUUGGUGAGGUAACGGCUCACCAAGGCCACGAUGCAUAGCCGACCUGAGAGGGUGAUCGGCCACAUUGGGACUGAGACACGGCCCAAACUCCUACGGGAGGCAGCAGUAGGGAAUCUUCGGCAAUGGACGAAAGUCUGACCGAGCAACGCCGCGUGAGUGAAGAAGGUUUUCGGAUCGUAAAACUCUGUUGUUAGAGAAGAACAAGGAUGAGAGUAACUGUUCAUCCCUUGACGGUAUCUAACCAGAAAGCCACGGCUAACUACGUGCCAGCAGCCGCGGUAAUACGUAGGUGGCAAGCGUUGUCCGGAUUUAUUGGGCGUAAAGCGAGCGCAGGCGGUUUCUUAAGUCUGAUGUGAAAGCCCCCGGCUCAACCGGGGAGGGUCAUUGGAAACUGGGAGACUUGAGUGCAGAAGAGGAGAGUGGAAUUCCAUGUGUAGCGGUGAAAUGCGUAGAUAUAUGGAGGAACACCAGUGGCGAAGGCGGCUCUCUGGUCUGUAACUGACGCUGAGGCUCGAAAGCGUGGGGAGCAAACAGGAUUAGAUACCCUGGUAGUCCACGCCGUAAACGAUGAGUGCUAAGUGUUGGAGGGUUUCCGCCCUUCAGUGCUGCAGCUAACGCAUUAAGCACUCCGCCUGGGGAGUACGACCGCAAGGUUGAAACUCAAAGGAAUUGACGGGGGCCCGCACAAGCGGUGGAGCAUGUGGUUUAAUUCGAAGCAACGCGAAGAACCUUACCAGGUCUUGACAUCCUUUGACCACUCUAGAGAUAGAGCUUCCCCUUCGGGGGCAAAGUGACAGGUGGUGCAUGGUUGUCGUCAGCUCGUGUCGUGAGAUGUUGGGUUAAGUCCCGCAACGAGCGCAACCCUUAUUGUUAGUUGCCAUCAUUCAGUUGGGCACUCUAGCAAGACUGCCGGUGACAAACCGGAGGAAGGUGGGGAUGACGUCAAAUCAUCAUGCCCCUUAUGACCUGGGCUACACACGUGCUACAAUGGGAAGUACAACGAGUUGCGAAGUCGCGAGGCUAAGCUAAUCUCUUAAAGCUUCUCUCAGUUCGGAUUGCAGGCUGCAACUCGCCUGCAUGAAGCCGGAAUCGCUAGUAAUCGCGGAUCAGCACGCCGCGGUGAAUACGUUCCCGGGCCUUGUACACACCGCCCGUCACACCACGAGAGUUU